GAGACUAGUUUGGCCCCCCGACGGCCGCCGUAGUGCGUCGCCUUUGUUGCCGUGGGAAACGACCUGAGACCUGGGAGGGAGGAAAGACGUUUCCCGCCGGCGGGAGCUGCGGUUGUGGCGGCUGGAGCAGCUCAAAGGCGGCGGAGCCCAGCGCCGCAGCACCAUGGCUGACCAGCUUUAUUUGGAAAACAUAGACGAGUUCGUCACGGACCAGAACAAGAUCGUGACGUACAAAUGGCUGAGCUUUACACUAGGGGUUCAUGUUAACCAGGCCAAACAGAUGCUGUAUGAUUAUGUUGAAAGGAAGCGAAAGGAAAAUUCAGGAGCCCAACUGCAUGUCACCUAUUUAGUGUCUGGCAGUCUGGUUCAGAAUGGAUAUUCCUGCCACAAGGUAGCAGUAGUGAGAGAAGAUAAAUUGGAAGCAGUGAAGUCCAAGCUAGCUGUGACUGCCAGCAUCCAUGUGUACAGCAUCCAGAAAGCCAUGUUAAAGGACAGUGGGCCUCUGUUCAAUACCGACUAUGACAUCCUUAAAAGCAACUUGCAGAACUGCAGCAAGUUUAGUGCCAUACGGUGUGCAGCUGCAGUCCCUAGAGCUCCUGUGGAAUCCUCAUCUUCUGAAAAGUUUGAGCAGUCAAAUCUUCAGGCAUCAAGUGAGACACAAGCCCAUGAAUUGAAGACCAAUGGUCAUGGCCCACCUACCUCCAAACAGAUUUCUCAGCAGCCUAAAGGAAUUAUGGGAAUGUUUGCCUCUAAAGCUGCUUCUAAAACCCAAGAUACCAACAAGGAAACCAAAACAGAGGCUAAAGAAGUAACAAAUGCAUCUUCAGCAGGCAGUAAGGCACCAGCGAAAGGGAAUGUGAUGAGCAAUUUUUUUGGAAAAGCUGCUCUAAAUAAACUUAAAGUUAAUUUGGAUUCAGAACAAGUAGUGAAAGAAGAAAAAAUAGUGGAGCAACCUCCAGUGUCUGUCAUUGAACCAAAGCUGGCAGCCCCUGCAGGCCUGAAGAAAUCCAGCAAAAAAGCAGAGCCUGUUAAGAUGCAGCAGAAGGAAAAAAAAAGGGGGAAGCGAGUGGAGUUAUCUGAUGAUGAAACAAAAGAAACUGAAAACUUGAGAAAAAAGAGAAGAAGAAUCAAACUUCCUGAGUCUGAUAGCAGCGAAGAUGAAGUCAUUCCGGACUCUCCUGGGGUUUAUGAAGCUGAGUCUCCAUCUCCACCUCCUCCUCCUUCUCCAUCUCCUGAACCAGUGCCCAAGACUGAGCCAGAACCGCCUCCUGUCAAGAGCUCAAGUGGAGAAAAAAGAAAACGAAAGCGUGUGCUGAAAUCUAAAACCUUUGUGGAUGAGGAAGGCUGCAUAGUGACUGAAAAAGUCUUUGAGAGUGAAUCCUGCACAGACAGUGAAGAGGAGCUUGAGACAAAGACCUCCUCUGUACACAGACCCCCUCUCAUGACUGUGAAAAAAGAAUCCAAAGAGGACCGUAAGGGCCCCAAAAAAGGGACUACUGCUCUGGGCAAAAUCAACAGACAAGUGUCCAUUACCGGCUUCUUCCAGAGGAAGUGAGCUGCCUUCUCUGUUAGGUCAGAGGUGUGGAAUGGUCAAGGGAGAAGACCAAGACGUACAGACUCUCGCUUACUGUACGGCACAUUGGAUUAUGAAAACUGGUGCUGUGACAAAGUGAAGAAGAAGAGCUGGUGAACCCAGUGUUUCCAUGGGCAUCCUUGUGGUUCCACUUACCUGUCCAAUCCGUGACUCCCCUUUGAUCCACCAGCACUCCUACCUUUCAGGUAGACUGCCGUGUCAUUCUGCAUGCAUUCUGUACUCUUCUUCCAGGCACAUUUCUAUUUGAAAUUCACAGUUUAGGGGAAAGCCAGUGGUCUGAAUGUACAUUCUAUUUCCCCAAGUACAGACAUGAGAGGGUGCCUUUAUAAAUGAAAAAAAAAAAAAAUUUCCAGCAGCAGAGAGGCUUCCCCCUGCUUCCCACAGUGAUGUAUGGGGUGCUCAGGCAAUAGUCAUGCCUGCAGUUUGAGUCCAUCUGUUUUCUCUGUUCAUCUCUUGAGUACUGUCCCCUUGUGGUUUGCAUCAUUCCCAGAGACCAGCCAACUCCAACCCUCCUCAAUCCAUUUGGUCAAUAGCUGUCUUAUUUAAACACACUCCCUCUCUCUUUGGGCGCCAGAUGUGAAGUUUCAAGGGAGUAGAGGCCAGGCUGGCUAACGCUGUGACACCUGCUUUAGCAAGCAAGCCAGUCAGCUGCUGCCUCUGAUGAUGUUGGCCCUUUUUCAUGGACAGCAUGAGGGUUUCACCCUACCAAGCACACACACAGGCAGCUGAGGGAGCCUCAUAAAUUAUGGUUUUGUUUGUUUACUCAGGGCAGGCAGCGUGGUGUAGUGGAAAGAGCCCUGCACUUUGAAGCAGAAAACAUGGAUCUAAGUCCUCACGGGUUACAUGACUUUGUGUUCGGAGCACCUCUUUCUUCAUAGAUAUAUGAUAUCUGAGAUAGUGAUAACUGCCCUUUGUUUAUCUGCUUAUUGGCCAUCUCCACCACCACCAUGUAAGUCCUAGGAGGUCAGGGGCUAUCUUGACAACCAUUGUAUCUCUAGCACCUAGGACAGUGACUGGAAUAUAGUAGGUUCUUAGAAAAAAAUUAUUGAAUGAAUGAAUGAAUUCAAAAACUGCCUCUUCUACUGACUGGCCAUGUGAUCGUGGAAGAGUCAUUUAUUAUCUCUGGGUGAUAGUUUUGUCAGCUGUGAAAUGAAGGCAUUAGAUCCCUAUCUCUGAUGCUCGAAACUAUAAGGAUCCACUCAGUUAUCAGAGUACCUCAGGUCUCUCUCCUGGACACUCUUCCAAGCCCUAAAAAUACACAGCCAUGAACAAGUCAAAAACAGAACCUGCCCUCAGGGACAUUGGAAAGGGAGAGGCCACCAGAUAAAUAAUGGUGUAAACAGAUAUUUCAGGACCAUUGUGGAAAGUCUUAGAAAGAAUCUGCAGAGGACACUGUGAGAGGAUGUAAUUAAUAGAGGGGCCUAACCAUGUUGGGGGUUAUCUAGGAAGAUAUUCUGGUGAAAGUGACAUUAAAGAUCGGAUUUAACAGAUAAGUAGGAAUUGGCCAGGCAGAAGGAGUAUGGGAUUUCAGGCCGAGGGAAAAACAUGUGUGAAGGCCCCACGGAGGAGUGUGGCUGGAGGACAGUGACUGACAGGGGGACUGUGCCCAAAAUAAGGCUAGAGGGUAGGCUGGGCUAGACUGUUGGGAGCUCUGUGGCUGUGGUAAGGAUUUUGUCAUUCUAAAGGCAAAGGGAAGCCAAUGAAGACAAUUCCUAUCAUUACCGAAAGCUCACUAGUAUAGACAAAAGGGAAAGGUCCUCUCCUUACAUGCCUUUCCAAGGUAGGUAGGCUGACUAUUACCCCAUUUUAUUGAUGUGGAAACAGGCCCCGGGAGGUUAGGUGAUUUACCAAGGCCAUCAUACAAGUCAUUGGUGGGGUUUGAUUUCUGAAAUUUUAGUCCAUUCCUCUCAAUGCUCCACCACAUUACAGAGUAGAGAGCUUUUUUUUUAACCCAGAUCUCCAAAUGGCUAAAUUUUGGACCUAAGUACCUUGUAAUAAUAACUCAUCUGAAAAUUGCAUGUCUCAUAAGUAACUUAAGCAAGUCUGAUAGAGACAAAUUUCUCCUGAAUAUUAUGUUUGCAUUUUGGGUAACUACUUGCAUUUUGAUAUAUAGCUGACCUUAAGUAAUGUGGAGGUGAGGAGUGAUGACCCCUUGCACAGUCAGAAAUCCAUGUAUAACUUUUGACUCCCCAAAAAGUUUAGUACUAAGAGCCUACUGUUGACCAAAAGCCUUCCUGAGAACAUAGUCAACUAACAUGUAUUUUGUAUGAUAUAUGUAUUAUAUAUUGCAUUCUUACAAUAAAGUAAGCUAGAGAAAACAAUCUUUUUUUCAAAUUAUCUCAAAUCUCAAAAAUUUUUCCUAUAUAUUUGUUGAAAAAAAUCUGCAUAUAAAUGUACCCAUUAAGUGCAAACCUGUGUUGUUCAAGGGGCAACUGUAUUUUAAAUUAUCCUUAGCAUAGAUUCCUAGGAAUAGAAUUACUGUAUCAAAGGCAUACGUUUUUAAGCAACUUUUGACAUACAUUGCCAAAUUGCCCUAAGGUUGUACUGAUUUUGAUGCUCAUCACUAGUACAUGAGAAUGACUUUCUCAAUGCUUCAAGUAAUGGAGACCAACCUAAUUUCUUAAGCAAAACUAAGUUUCCAGUUAUACUCAUUUUGUUCACUUAGAGAGAGGAAAUACAACUAGGCUUUGACAUUUGUAACUGAGGAAAGAAGAUGAAGCUAUGGAGAUAGUGCCCAAGGGAGGCGGGAAGCUCCCCAAGGCUAGAAGAAAGCCAAAAGAUGCCUCACAUGGGUCUGGUCUUUCACGGACAGGCAUUCGUGUGUGUGAACCUGCUGCUGCUGCUCAGAACUUCUUGUGGUUCUUGGAGACAUAAGCAGGGUCUGUGAAGCUGGUAGAACUCUGUGGAUUGGGGACCCUAAAAGUACUGAGAAGGAAGAAAACUCUUCUCUAGCAGAAGAUGAGUUGGUGAGGAGGGCAGUGGUGAGUUAUCACUGCCAGUAGAACUGAGAGAGUAUCAGCUUGGGCUUGUUAGCUCAGUGAAUGAGCACAUGGGCCCAAGAGCCAGAGAUUGUGGUGGCUGUUACCCUCACUUGCGCUGAGGUGAUGGACCUGUGUCCUUAUCUCUACAGUGUCUUGCACAGAAUAGGUGCUCUGGGAAUGUUUCAGAGCCAAGCCACAUUUUCAUUUAACAGUAAUUUGCUGUUAAUUCAAUAAAUAUUUAAUGCACUAGGCAGUGGAAAUAAAGUAAAGAUUAGGACAACAUGAUUCAUACCCCCACAGAGCUCACAGCUUAUGAGGGUUAACUUAUGAUAGGUAAUAAGUGAUUAUAGUGCAUUAAGAGAAGGGCUAUGAGAGGGGAAACCAUGGUAUCAUAUAAGUAUGUAGCAGAGGUCCCAUGUCCAGAUUUGGCAGAUAUGAUAAGACUACAGGAUAAAUUCAGUGAGGACAUGGUGUAUAUACUUUGUUCACUGCUAUAUUCCAGUACCUGUUCCAUGAUGGGUCCUCCAUAAACAUUUGUAAAUGAAUGAAAAAAAGAAUGAAUAAAGUAAUGUAUGAAUCGGUAAACCAAGUCAAGCAUAGGAAUAAUGUUCCAUACAGAGAUAAAGGCAGUAUACAGGCCUGGAA